rnacentral:rRNA from 1 species
UACGUAGGGGGCAAGCGUUGUCCGGAUUUAUUGGGCGUAAAGAGCGUGUAGGCGGCCAGGGAGGUCCGUUGUGAAAACUCGAGGCUCAACCUCGAGACGCCGAUGGAAACCCCCUGGCUAGAGUCCGGAAGAGGAGAGUGGAAUUCCUGGUGUAGCGGUGAAAUGCGCAGAUAUCAGGAGGAACACCUAUUGCGAAGGCAGCUCGCUGGGACGUAACUGACGCUGAGACGCGAAAGCGUGGGGAGCAAACAGG